GGUGCAUUGGGCUCUUUUAUUUGUUAUGUGAUCUCUUUUAAUUGGGCCUGAGCAUCUGUAAUCUAAUUGGUGUGGGUUAAAGUGUGGGCCAUAACCCUUGGCCCAUAAUGGGAAGGGACUAGGGUUAUAACAUGUUUGGCUAGGUCCCCUUUGUAAUCACGACAUCAGAUAUUUGUCUGCUCCACAGCUUGCCCCAUUGAGAGUUGUGAAAGGGAGUGUGAGAUACAGAGGAAGAUCUGGUCAUUGACACUGCAGGUGAAUUGAAUCAAGGGAAGCAAUCCUUCUUCUCCAAUACCAUGUCUUCAACAAGUAAGUGUUGUGUUCUAAUUUCAUAUAAUUGCUACAUGAAAAUUUCCGCUUACAUUUGGUAUCAGAGCCUUAAUUAUAUGAAUUAGGACCCAAUUCGUGAUUGACUGUAUGAUUUUAAAAUCGAUUCACUUUUCGUGAUAACAAAAUCUCAAACAUGCGUCUUUCACCUGCCAUGAUUUCUUUCUCAAGCGAUCUGUAUGAAUCGAAUUAUCAUACAUUAUUUGUACAUGAUUUUGUUUUGUUAUGAUAGCAUCAAUUUUACAUGACAUUGUGAAAUAGAAAUCAACUCUCCUAAAUAUAGUAUUGUAGAACGUACACUGAAUUUGGAUAGUUUAAAAACCGUUUAGGUAUGUAUGUAUCUGGUUUCUAAUUAUAUUAGGAUUUUGAUUAUAUUAUGGUUUUGAUGUGUCCAAUUUGUUGCCACUGUUAUAUUGUGGAUUUCCUGAUUUUAGAUGAUCAUUAUCUUUGAUUCAAAGAACGUGUAUAUAUAUAUGUUUUAUGUGUUCUUAUGUGCUUAACCUGUAUUAAGCUUAUCGAGAAACCAGAUAAUUAAACCUUCUCUUUUCUUUACCAGUAACAACAUUUAACCCAGAUUUGUUGUGACCCUUUUAACAAUAUUAUAUUGCAUAUUAUAUAUAUAUAAUCUAUGUAUGCAACUUAGUAAUCAUAUAAUAUCCUCUUAAUUGAUUAUAAAUAUUUACUUGAACUGUUGAGUACAAAACUGAUUGGGAAUGCUAUAUGGUUUGAUUUCAUGGUUGAGUCAUGAAUUCUGGGCAAAAGAGAAUUUUGAUUGUCUCUGAUCAUUGUGUACAAUUUUCCUCCCAAAGGUGGGUUAUUGUGUGUAGUGAUUGAGGAUGGCUAUUGGAGGUACAUUGGUCUAUAAAUUUAUCUAUCCAAAGAAGAUAAAAUUUUGAACUCAAUGUAUGCUCACUGAGUAGCUUAUUCUUGAGAUUUGUGGAUGAAGUUAUUGGAGGUGUUUUGGUUUAGGGAAUCUAUCUGUCCAAAGAAGAUAGAUUUUUGAACCCAAUGCAUAUGCUCAUUGAGUAACUCAUCUGAGGUUCUGACCUUGGUUGCAACUUGGGUUUGCGCAUUCCACCCAAAGGGGAAUACGCAAUGAUGUUGGCCUCAUCAUAAUAGCUUGUGUUAAUUAAAGCUAUAUCUUGCCCAUACUAUUCGUUUUAAUGCAUUCUUGUUUUGUCUUAACAGUGAACUUCUCUGUGAAUAACUGUUCUGCUUCUAUUGAGAUCCUGACUGGAUCCAAUUAUAAGAAGUGGAAGCAAGACUUAGAGUUUUCAUUAGGGAUUGCUGACGUUGAUGUGGCAUUGCUUGAGAACAAACCUAUCAUCAAUGCACAGAGCACACCUGAUGAGAAGGAGAAGUUGGCUAAGUGGGAGAGGUCAAACCGCCUCAGCAUGUAUGCUAUCAAGAGGACUAUUUCUGAACAUCUGAUAAGUGGACUGCCUGAAAAGGAUAAUGCUAAAGACCUUCUUGCCGCUAUAGGAGAAAGGUUCCAGGUAUCUGAUAACGCUGAAUCUGGAUGUUUAAUGAAACAACUUACUGACAUGAAAUAUGAUAACACUGGGGGUGUAAGGGAGUUCAUUCUGAAGAUGGUUCAUGUCCAAACCAAACUGAAAACCCACAACAUUGACCUGAAUGAUAAUUACAUUGUUUGUCAUGCCUUAAACAGCCUACCUCCUGAUUUCACACAAAUUAAAACUGCCUAUAAUACUUAUGGUGAGAAGUGGUCUAUUAAUGACCUUAUUACUAAGUGUGUGGCUGAGGAAGAGAAACUUAAGAAAGAAAAGAGUGAAUUAGCCCUUCUGACUUACCAUGCUAAACCCCAUUCUGGUAAGAGUAAUUGGAAAAAUAAGAAAAAUGCUCCUAGAGCUUCUCAUAAGAAUCAUGAUUUGAGGAAACCAGGCAACGGUCAGAAUCACAAUGUAGGAAGUCCUAAUUCUGUUGCUUUCAAGAAUCCAUCCUGGUGCUUUUGGUGUAAACGAAAGGGGCAUAAGAAAGUUGAUUGUCGUUCUUUUAAAGCUUGGUUAGAGAACAAAAAGAAUACACCAGAAGGUAAUCAUUUUGCUUUUGUCUGUUUUGAGUCUAACUUAGUUGAUGUUCCCAUUAAUACCUGGUGGCUUGACAGUGGUUCCACAACCCAUAUUGCUGUGUCUUUACAGGGGUUCAGAAACCAGAGGAGACCAAGUUUGAGGGAAAGCAAGCUCAGGGUAGGAAAUGAUCUUGAAGUAGAGGUGGAGCUAGUGGGAGAUGUUAGCUUAGUCCUAGGAACUGGUUUUGAACUUGUUUUAAAAGAUACAUUUUAUGUACCUUCUUUUAGGAGGAAUUUGAUUUCAGUAUCUAGUUUGGAUAAGCUUGGAUUUGAUUUUAAUAUUUCUGGUGGAAAAAUAAGUUUGAUGUUGAAUUCUGAAGUUAUUGGCAAUGCUAUUUUGUUGGAUGGUUUAUAUAGGUUAUCUUUGGAUUUUGAUAAUGUUUCCUCAUCUUUGAAUGUUGAGAGCUCCAUUGCCAAAAGGUCUAAAAUUAGGGAAAAAUCCUCUUUAUUGUGGCACAAGCGUUUAGGUCAUAUCUCUAAGGAGAGAGUUGAAAGAUUGAUUAGAGAUGAUGUUUUACCUUCCUUAGAUUUUAAUGAUUUAGGAACUUGUGUGGAUUGUAUUAGAGGAAAAUUUACUAAAACAAAAAAGAAAGGUUCAACUAGAAGUUCAGAUCUUUUAGAAAUAAUUCAUACAGAUAUUAGUGGACCUCUUUCCCCUACUAUUUGUGGUAAUAAAUUGUUUAUCACUUUCAUUGAUGAUUUUUCCCGUUAUGGCUAUCUUUAUUUGAUUAAGGAAAAAUCUGAAGCACUUGAGAAGUUUAAAAUUUUUAAAACUGAGGUUGAAAAGCAACUAGGAAAAGUGAUUAAGAUUGUGAGGUCUGACCGUGGUGGAGAGUAUUAUGGUAGGUAUGAUUCUACUGGGCAACAUAUGGGGCCUUUUGCUAAAUACUUGCAAGAUUGUGGAAUUGUUCCGCAAUACACCAUGCCUGGUAGUCCUGAACAAAAUGGUGUAGCCGAAAGGCGAAACCGCACACUUAAAGAUAUGAUGAGAAGCAUGAUGAGUAGGAGUAACUUACCAGAAUUCUUGUGGGGUGAAGCUUUGAAAACAGCCCUCUAUAUACUAAACAGAGUACCUAGUAAAUCAGUUCCAAAAACACCUUUUGAGCUUUGGACCAAUAGAAAACCCAGUUUGAACCAUUUUCGAGUUUGGGGCUGCCCAUCAGAGGUUAAAAUAUAUAAUCCUUUUGAGAAAAAGACUGACCCCAAAACUUGUCGUUGUUUUUUCAUUGGAUAUCCAGAUCGCGCUAAAGGUUACAGGUUCUUUUGUCCUAAUAGAGGUAAUAAAAUUGUGGAGUCUAUGCAUGCAAAAUUUCUUGAGCUUGAUGUAGCCGAGCCUGCCAUUGCAUCUGAUAAUAAUGAUUCUCUUAUGCCUGAUGUUGUAACUAUAUCAUUGCCUAUUUUUAAUAAUGCUAGCUCAUCCACCACUCAUGGAGUUUCUACUCCCAUUGAGAAUGCGACUGAACCACUCGUUGAUAAUGUGGUUCAAACACUUGUUGAGAAUGUGGUUGAUCCUCCUGUUCAGGUUGAGGUUGCACAACCUGAUGAACCAGUUGAGCAAAUUCCUGUUAGAAGGUCAGUUAGACAAAGGAGACCUGCUAUCACUAAUGAUUUUGUGGUUUAUCUCAGCGAGGAUGCUUAUGAUAUUGGUGAUGUUGUUGAUCCUAAGAAUUAUCAAGAAGCUAUUACUUGUUCUCAAUCUAAUAUGUGGACAGAUGCUAUGUAUGAUGAAAUGAAAUCCAUGGCCAACAAUGAUGUCUGGGAGCUUGUGGAGUUACCAAGGAAUUGUAAGGCGAUUGGUUGCAAGUGGAUAUUCAAAACAAAGAAGGACUCAAAAGGUAAAAUUGAAAGAUUUAAGGCAAGGCUUGUGGCUAAGGGCUUCACACAGAAAGAAGGGAUUGAUUUUAAUGAGACAUUUUCUCCUGUUUCAACCAAAGAUUCUUUUAGAAUUAUUAUGGCUCUUGUAGCCCACUUUGACUUGGAGUUGCAUCAGAUGGAUGUCAAGACAGCGUUUCUGAAUGGUAACCUCAGUGAGGAGGUGUACAUGCAACAACCUGAGGGUUUUGUGACAAGUGGCAAUGAGCACUUGGUUUGUAGAUUAAAGAAAUCUAUUUAUGGUUUGAAACAGGCUUCUAGACAAUGGUACUUGAAAUUUGAUGAGGUGGUGACUUCCUUGGGUUUUGAAGAAAAUAAAGUUGAUCAGUGCAUCUAUCUUAAGGUCAGUGGGAGCAAAUUCAUCUUUCUUGUGUUAUAUGUUGAUGAUAUUUUGCUUGCUAGUAAUGACCUUGGUCUACUUCAUGAGACCAAACAUAUGCUGACUAAGUUCUUUGAUAUGAAAGAUCUUGGUGAAGCAUCUUUUGUGUUGGGAAUUGAAAUUCUUAGAGAUAGAUCACGUGGUCUGCUUGGCUUGUCUCAGAAGGCCUAUAUUGAUAGAGUCCUGGAAAGAUUCAAUAUGCAAACUUGUAGGCAUGGGGAUGUUCCAGUUACUAAAGGUGACAAAUUCAGUAAAGAUCAAUGUCCUAAAAAUGAGAUUGAGCGAGCAGAGAUGAAGGAGAAACCCUUUGAUAGUGCAUUGGGUAGCUUGAUGUAUGCUCAGGUGUGCACUAGGCCUGACAUUGCUUUCAUAGUUGGCGUUUUGGGAAGAUACCAGUCUAAUCCUGGGAAUGAUCAUUGGGUUGCUGCUAAGAAAGUAAUGAGAUACUUGCAGAGAACGAAAGAGCAUAUGCUUGUAUUUAGGAGAGUUGACAACUUGGAAAUAGUUGGGUACACUGAUUCAGAUCUUGCUGGAUGCCUUGAUGAUAGGAAAUCUACUUCUGGUUACAUUUUCAUGCUAGCUGGAGGUGCAAUAUCAUGGAAAAGUAAGAAGCAAACUCUUGUUGCCUCUUCUACUAUGCAAGCAGAGUUCAUUGCCUGCUAUGCUGCUGCCACCCAUGCUGUUUGGUUGAGAAAUUUGGUGACCGGACUUCGCAUUGUUGAUUCCAUUGCUAGGCCACUAAAGCUUUACUGUGAUAACAGUGCAGCUGUGUUCUACACUAAAAAUAAUAAAACUAGUAGUGGCUCUAAGCACUUGGAAUUGAAGUAUUUGACAGUUAGAGAUCUUGUAAAGAAAAAUGACAUAAUUGUUGAGUACAUUGGUACUGAUUUCAUGCUAGCUGACCCCUUAACCAAGGGACUUAGGCCCAUUGCGUUUAAUAAACACGUUGAGAACAUGGGCAUAGUGAGUUCUUUUGAUGUUUUUGGUUAGUGGGAGCUUCUUUUUAUGUUUUAUGUCAUUUUCGUAUUAUGCUGGAUUUUUAUUAUAAACACUUUAAGUGUUGGAUUGUCAAGUACUAAUUAUUUUGAGCAAUUGAUAAUGCAAUGAGUUUUAAUUAUUAUUUGCCACUGUUUAUUUAUAUAUCAAUUGCAAGAUUUUGAGCUCGGUGUCGUUGGGGCCACUAUGCCGGUGGUCGACACCAGAUUGGAGCUGAGGCACAAUUGUAAUUUUGAGCUCGGUGUCGUUGGGACCACUGUGCCGGUGGUUGACACCAGACUGGAGCUGAGGCAUGAUGGUUUAUAAACCAUACAAUUUCUUUGGCUUUAAGGCAUUUGAGAGAAAUUGUUAGGACUGAUAAAGAAAAUAGCAGUUUGGCUGUUGGAUCACAUUGGCAUGCUAUUUUCUUACCACACUCCACACUGUUGACUAGUUGACGAAGUCGGUGAUAUUUGUAACCAUGGAAGGUUCUAUGUCAAUAGAUGAUAUAAUAAUCGCCAUGAUUCGAUAUUACUUGGCUUUUGUUGGACGAAGUCGUACUCAGAUGCUGCACCUGAAAUUAUGCGUUUUCUUAAGAUGUGGCCACAUCUUAAGAGAUUAGUUAUUAACCCAAGAGUCGUUUUCAUACACAUGCUUUUGAAAAUUAAAAUCAUACAAUUAAUUUUGCCCAAGUGGGAGAAUGUUAGAUUUAUCUAACGUUUUGUGGGCUACAAUUAAUUGUUAUUUUGUUUGUGAAAAACGGGUUAAUUCAUAAUUCUGACAGGGGUGCAUUGGGCUCUUUUAUUUGUUAUGUGAUCUCUUUUAAUUGGGCCUGAGCAUCUGUAAUCUAAUUGGUGUGGGUUAAAGUGUGGGCCAUAACCCUUGGCCCAUAAUGGGAAGGGACUAGGGUUAUAACAUGUUUGGCUAGGUCCCCUCUGUAAUCACGACAUCAGAUAUUUGUCUGCUCCACAGCUUGCCCCAUUGAGAGUUGUGAAAGGGAGUGUGAGAUACAGAGGAAGAUCUGGUCAUUGACACUGCAGGUGAAUUGAAUCAAGGGAAGCAAUCCUUCUUCUCCAAUACCAUGUCUUCAACAA
rnacentral:lncRNA from 1 species